rnacentral:ribozyme from 1 species
CUCCUUUAUGAUAGCAGCCUUGGCGUGGCAAAGGAGCUUAACUCUUUUUGAGUUACUAAUGCUAU